GACGAACGCUGGCGGCGUGCCUAAUACAUGCAAGUCGAACGCAGUGGGGACGGGUGCGUAACACGUGGGUAACCUCCCAUCAGAGGGGAUAACACUUGGAAACAGGUGCUAAACCGAUACUGAUGGAUGGACCCGCGGUGCAUUAGCUAGUUGGUGAGGUAACGGCUCACCAAGGCCACGAUGCAUAGCGGACCGUGGAGGUGGAGCGGCAACACUGGGACGGAGACACGGCCAAGACUCCUACGGGAGGCAGAAGUAGGGAAUCGUCGGCAAUGGACGAAAGUCUGACCGAGCAACGCCGCGUGAGUGAAGAAGGUUUUCGGAUCGUAAAACUCUGUUGUUAGAGAAGCGGUAUCUAACCAGAAAGCCACGGCUAACUACGUGCCAGCAGCCGCGGUAAUUC
rnacentral:rRNA from 1 species